rnacentral:tmRNA from 1 species
GGGCCCGACCGGUUUUGACAGUAAGCGCAUCAGAUAGGUAAGCAUGUAGAGCGUUGUAAGACGAGCUCUUUAAACUGAACUUUCAAAACUUUUAUUUGGCGAAGAGAAUUCUUACGCUAUGGCUGCUUAAUUUAGAAUUAAGUGACCUUUGCUUUCCAGGGAGCUAAGCUGCUCUGCGCCUUGGGUAAAGCAUCAUAAAUGUGUAGUUUGUUUUACCGAUGUUGUUAAGUAAAACAAUAUUAGCAACUAAGUUAAGGGUUGGUUUGAUAUAACGCCUGCCUUUAGCCUACAAUCAAGUUAUAACUAAACGUGUAGAAAGCUUAUUUUUUCCUUAUUUGGACGAGAGUUCGAAUCUCUCCGGGUCCACUA